ensembl:ncRNA C10C5.9 ncRNA
AAAUUUCUCACUUUUACUUUCGAAUAAAAAGGUUUGAUAACGAUGAGUAAGAGCGGUGAACAGGCCAAAAAAGUAUUGGAAGAGAUGGAAAAAGAAGACGGUUAUUUGUGUUUGUUCAGGUGUAGGUG